rnacentral:rRNA from 1 species
GUGGGGAAUAUUGCACAAUGGGGGAAACCCUGAUGCAGCAACGCCGCGUGAGUGAAGAAGUAUUUCGGUAUGUAAAGCUCUAUCAGCAGGAAAGAAAAUGACGGUACCUGACUAAGAAGCCCCGGCUAACUACGUGCCAGCAGCCGCGGUAAUACGUAGGGGGCAAGCGUUAUCCGGAUUUACUGGGUGUAAAGGGAGCGUAGACGGUUUUGCAAGUCUGAAGUGAAAGCCCGGGGCUUAACCCCGGGACUGCUUUGGAAACUGUAGGACUAGAGUGCAGGAGAGGUAAGUGGAAUUCCUAGUGUAGCGGUGAAAUGCGUAGAUAUUAGGAGGAACACCAGUGGCGAAGGCGGCUUACUGGACUGUAACUGACGUUGAGGCUCGAAAGCGUGGGGAGCAAACAGGAUUAGAAACCCCAGUAGUCC